UGAGGGGCUUGGAAUUGACAGGCCGGAGGUGGGGCCCGAGUUCCUGUCUCCAGCCCACGAUUUGCCGAUCCAUCUGUCUUCCUCAGAGAGAGAGGGCGGAUAAUGCAGACUGCGCUUCCUUGGAAGACGGCAGGCUCCAGGCCAGACAAACGAAUGUAUCAACCAUACAGAUGAAGAGCUGAGGCUCAGGGAAGGAAUUUGCCAAGGUCACGAAGCUGUAAGACACAGAACCUGGGGUGUCUGCCUGUAGAGCUCACACUGACUCUACAGCCACUGAUCCAAAGCUUCAAUGAGCAAGAGAUGAAGUGACCCCUCCAACCCCACAGCUCAGCGUCUUUCUUGAAGCUCCAACUCCAGGGCCAUUGUUUUCCUGUUCUCCCCGCUCCAAGGCCUCUCCUCUCUCCUUGGCCCAACUCUCUGACAGUGAUGCAGUUCUGAAGGCCAGACGUCCAAAAUCAGAAUGGCAUUUGCUUGAAGGAUCCAGGGGAGAAUCCCUCCUUGCUUCUUCCAGCUUCUGGUGGCUCAUGGCAAUACCUUGACUUGUAGACAUAUCCCUCCAAUCUCUACUUAUGCCUUCAUAUCACCUUCUCUUCUCUUAUGAGAACAGUUGUCAUUGGAUUUAGGACCCACCCUAAUCGAAGAUGAUCUCACAUGUAGUUUAAUUACAUCUAUAAAAUAUGCUUUUCAGUAAGGUCACUUCCGUGGUUUGAAUGCCCCCUCCAAAACUUAAUGUUGAAACUUAAUCCCCAACGUGGCAGUACUGAGAGGUGGGGCCUUUUAGAGCUGGUUGGAUUGUGAAGGUUCUGUCCUCAUGAAUGGAUUAGUUCCAUUCAUGAAUUAAUAAAUUAAUAGGCUCAUGGAUUAGUGGGUUACCAUGGGAGGGGAACUGGUGGCUUUAUAAGAGGAGGAAGAGAGACCUGGGCUAGUACAUUAAGAUUCUCAGCCCCCUUACCAUGUGGCGACCUGUGCCACCUGGGGACACUGCAGAGUCCCCACCAGCAAGAAGGCUCUCACCAGACUUAGCCCCUCAACAUUGGACUUAGCCUCCAUAACUGUAAGAAAUAAACUCCUUUUCUUCAUAAA
rnacentral:lncRNA from 1 species